rnacentral:rRNA from 1 species
UACGGGGGGGGCAAGCGUUGUUCGGAAUUACUGGGCGUGAAGCGCGCGCAGGCGGCUAUCCAAGUCAGUGGUGAAAGCCCGGAGCUCAACUCCGGAACUGCCAUUGAAACUGUUUAGCUUGAGGAUGAGAGAGGUGAGUGGAAUUCCCAGUGUAGAGGUGAAAUUCGUAGAUAUUGGGAAGAACACCGGUGGCGAAGGCGGCUCACUGGCUCAUUACUGACGCUCAGGCGCGAUAGCGUGGGGAUCAAACAGG